rnacentral:rRNA from 1 species
AUUAAGAAUUUGAUCCUGGUUCAGGAUGAACGCUAGCAAUACACUUAACACAUGCUAGUCUAAUGUAAUGAUACUUUCGUUACAUGGCGUACAGGUGAGUAAUACAUAGGAAUCUGCCUUACAGUCUUGAAUAAAUAA